GACGAACGCUGGCGGCGUGCUUAACACAUGCAAGUCGAACGGUGAAAGCGGAGCUUGCUCCUCUGGAUCAGUGGCGAACGGGUGAGUAACACGUGGGCAACCUGCCCCUGACUUCGGGAUAACUCCUCGAAAGAGGUGCUAAUACCGGAUACGAAUCCUGCAGGCAUCUGCGGGAUUGGAAAGUUUUUCGGUCAGGGAUGGGCCCGCGGCCUAUCAGCUUGAUGGUGAGGUCGUGGCUCACCAAGGCGACGACGGGUAGCCGGCCUGAGAGGGCGACCGGCCACACUGGGACUGAGAAACGGACCAGACACCUCCUGGGGGCAGAAGUGGGGAAUAUUGCGCAGUGGGCGAAAGCCUGACGCAGCAACGCCGCGUGAGGGAUGACGGCCUUCGGGUUGUAAACCUCUUGCAGCAGGGAAGAAGCGAAAGUGACGGUACCUGCAGAAGAAGCACCGGCUAACUACGUGCCAGCCGCCGCAGUAA
rnacentral:rRNA from 1 species